CUUGUAUUGUGUGUCCUGUAACUUUCAAAAUAAGCUGAAAUCCUAUACAUAUGUACUCUAUAAAUCAAGACAUUAAUUUUGAAUUACUUUUUCUAAGCUGGACAUAUUAUGCACACACUAUUGCCAAAACUGGAAAAAAAAAUAAUUCCCCCCACAUAAUUAUUUUUAAAAAAAUUUAUGAGAAUUUAUCUAUGUAUAUGUGACAUCAAAUUGAAGCACUUUUAAAAAAAAACAAAAAAAACAAACAACACAGUAUAUAAUGUGUCUUGGUGCAAAAAUGGCUUGUGUCCUUAAGGGAUUAACCCUGUAACUUUCCAAGUCAAUAAAACCUGUACAUGAGGGGUUUUGUUUUACUCGGAAACUUCGCUGAACACAAAUAUUAAGGUUUUAAAAGGUUAUUUGUAUAAAAAUGAUAUUGUCCAAAAGUGAAGUUUUUUGUAUUUUUCACACAUAAACGGCACUUUCUCUGACAAUAUUGUUGUGAUAAGUUUUACUGUUUUGAAGCCAUAAUAUCUGAGUUCAGAGAAGUCUCUCCCAUGUACAGGUUUU